UCCUUGAAGGGCUCAUUUAUGUUCCAUCUCCCCGUGAAGACUUGUCACACCACGGCAGCUCACGAUCCUUAAUUUUUUCCUUGUCAUGUCUUUAUGUUGCUUUAAUGCCACAUCGUCAAGGAGGCAUCCCUUCUUCUCCAUUUACCAUCUUCCCCAAAAGUGCUUUGCAGAGGCAUCAGUGGGGUUCCACUGACUCUCAAGACAUUUCUGUUGGCUGUGCCAUAAACUGGAGCUUACGGGAAGAUGCCUGCAGGAGAGAGUUUGUUAGGUAUUCUGGCUGCAGGGCGACCGAGGAGUGAAUGAACCAAAUGGACUUAUCCAUUUGCCAGGAAAAUGAAGUAAACCCUCAGGCGUCUAAGGACCAUCGUGCUGCAAGGGCACUGUGGAACAGAGAAUCCCUGUGCCUGAGAUGCCCUGGUCCCGGUGGAUCUGGCUGCUUCUGCACAGCACUAGUCCCUCUUCUCUAUAGAUGUCGUUUGCCAUUGAUCUGGUGGGAGUGCAGCACUGCGUAUGUCUUGAGAUGUCUACGUUCAGAGUUUUUUCCCUCGCUUCCUCCUACCUAGCUCAUGGAAAAUUUGUUCUUAAACAGGGCUCGCCCUGCAAGGAUUGUGCAAGACUCAUGUGUGGGUGAUGUAUGAGGAAAUGGAAAUCAUAAUGCAUGCCACCUCCUCCUCCUCCUCCUGGGUCUGGGAGGAUUAGUGGGGGACUAGAUUACAAGUUUAUUAAGCAUGUAGGAUGUAAGCUUUCUCAGUGGUAACAGACUAUGAUGAUAAGCUGCUGUCUCAACAAUAACACCACAGAAGCAGAACAACAGAUAAAACGAUGCUGACUUUAUGCUCCAUUUGAAAUUUGAUAUGAGCAAGGGUGGAAAGAGUCCAUGUACAUCAAAUGGAAAAAAAAUGAAAUUAAAACAAAAAGACCAAAGAACACCCAAGAAUUAGGAUUAAUAAGAAAAAUAAAAGGGAUGCUUAAAAGAUAUUUGAAACGAAAAGUACAGUAUAAUGUAGACAAUUUUGUGGAGUAUGGUGUAAUCAUGGCAACAGAAUUUUAGUGGGCAAUGGAGAAAGAUGGCGUUAUUUGAGAAGAGAGAAAGCCAAGUCUGGGCUCUGUCUGGUGACAACCUGGUGGCUUUGGGCAUCACUCAAUCUCUCUGGGUUCCAGUUUCAUCAGCCCAAUAUUAUACUUGACCUGAUCCUCGUAAAUUAUCUUGAAGACAUGUGAGAAGAAAAAUAAAAGAUAAGAAAUAUGAAAAGUCUUUGUUAUGGGCUGAAUUCUGUCCCUCUCGAAUUCCUAUGUUGAAGUUCUGAGCCCAGUGCCUCAGAAUGUGACUGUAUCUGGUGAUGGGGCCUUUAAAGAGAUAAUUAAGUUAA
rnacentral:lncRNA from 1 species